rnacentral:lncRNA from 1 species
UUUUCAGAGUGAGAGGGGAUGAAUAUAUGGUCUUCAGAUUAGAGUUCUUGAUCCUAAUGGUAGAAUAUAUGUUAUUUAAUUUUCAAUGAAUACAGUAGGCAUUUUUGGCAUGAAAUAUAACGAUUUCCUAAAUUAAAUUGUUCACCAGCUAUAAGAAUAUUAAGUAUGGGGCAAGUUAAAGUUGUAAAAAUCGAUUUUGAUUUAGGAUGGCAAAGAUGUGGUAGCUAGAAGACUAAUAAUCAACAAUCAAUGCAUGCAUUGUUUUAUUAUGAUGUAACUGGAGUUGAACCGGGUUAAACCGUGACUCUUUGCAUAUUUUAAUGGUUGGUUUUUUUUU